CAACAUUCCUGGAAGGUAACGCCAGGCCAGCACGGGCGGGGCGGGGCGGUGGCCGCUGCCAGAUGUGCACGCCGCAGCUGCCCCGGCGCUAAUAAGAGCCUGUGCUUACCUGUGCUCCAUCCAAUUGCCCAUCUGAGAGUGUUGGAGCUGAGUCCUCCCAGGGGACCUGAGCCCCCCACCUUUCGUGUGAAGGGGGCAGUCUGAGGGGAGUGCAUCAGCACUCAAGUGGACAGGAACGCUGGCACCUGAUAGAGGAAGGUUGAGAAAGCCGGUGUCUCUCUGCCCCUCCCGCUGAAAAGCUGAGUGUGGGGAAGCAAUUCCAUUUGGCAGCUGCGCAAGAGUGACUCAAAAACAGUUGUUUGGCUUGUCGGCUACCCAGGCCCUGCACAGCUCAGAAACAGGCUGCUGAACUGGAGACAGCUUAACUCUUUCAGGAGCCCCAGCCCAUCAACAGAGCUCCUUGACAGCCUGGACUACAUGCUCCCACAGGCCCAACAUGUUCCCACCUCUGCUCUUGUGUAUGUGCUGUGCCCUUCUCCUGGAUCACCUUGUCCUCAGAGGGCCACACGCCCACUCCCCUCUGCUUAAAUGCCAGCUCCUGUGAAAGUUGGCAUUCCUGCCACACCUCCUCCUGUAGUGUGUACUCCAGCAUGGCAUUGUCUCCGCAGUGAUUUUUCUGUUUAAUGUUUGAUUCCCCCAACUCAACUGUGAGUCCCAUGAGGGAGGACCUUGCCCAUCUUGCUCACUGCUGCAUCCCCCUGUGGCAGCACAUGAAAGAGUGAGUGAAUGCAUGGAUGGAGAAACGGACAAAUGGGUGGACAGAAGACAUGAGCGGAGGAUGGAUGGAGGGAUGGGGUAGAAAAGAUGGAUGGAAGGAAGGAUGGAUGGUGGACAAAUGGAUGGGUGGAUAGAAAAGACGGACGGACGGACGGAUGGAUGGAUGGAUGGGUGGGUGGGUGGAGUGGGUGGGUGGAUGAAUGGGUGGGUGGGCAGCUGGACUGGGGAGGAAGAACUGACCACUGCCUCAGUUAUUUUGUCAUGGGUAACCUCAGUUCUCUGACAAGAUGAAAAGCCCCUUAAAAGAGCCUUCCCCCACCCUCACCAACAAGUGCUACCUCUGCUCAGAGUGAGCACAGAGAAAAGGGUAGUAGCUCCUUUGUCCUUCAUCUGACACUCACCCACACACCUACACACACACAUCACCCUUCCGUGGUAGCCAAGGACAGCUCCAUAGGCAGUGUGGCAUGGCUGAAAAUACAAUGCUCUCUCCUAGCAGGGGACACUCACUGAGCCAUUAAUACAUUCAGGCUACGAGCCAGGCCCUUUUAUAGUUAUUCCAACCUAUGCCAUCUUCACGACUGCACCAGGAAGCAUGCUACUCU